rnacentral:rRNA from 1 species
GGACGGGUGGAGUAACGCGUGGGUAACCGUGCCUCAUACAGGGGGAGUAACAGUUAGAAAUGGCUGCUAAUACCGCAUAAGCGCACAGUGCCGCAUGGCACGGUGUGAAAAACUACCGGUGGUAUGAGAUGGACCCGCGUCUGAUUAGCUAGUUGGUAAGGUAACGGCUUACCAAGGCGACGAUCAGUAGCCGGCCUGAGAGGGUGAACGGCCACAUUGGGACUGAGACACGGCCCAA